rnacentral:ncRNA from 1 species
AAGAGCCGUAUAACGGGAGACUGUUACGUACGGUUCUGUGAGGGCCCGGGGGUGAGAUCCCCCGGGCUACUCGGC